UACGUAGGGGGCAAGCGUUGUCCGGAUUUAUUGGGCGUAAAGAGCGUGUAGGCGGCCAGGUAGGUCUGCUGUGAAAACUCGAGGCUUAACCUCGAGAUGUCGGCGGAAACCAUCUGGCUAGAGUCCGGAAGAGGAGAGCGGAAUUCCUGGUGUAGCGGUGAAAUGCGCAGAUAUCAGGAAGAACACCAACGGCGAAGGCAGCUCGCUGGGACGGAACUGACGCUAAGGCGCGAAAGCGUGGGGAGCGAACAGG
rnacentral:rRNA from 1 species